AAUGGACAGCCGGCGGUACCACCGCCGACGAUUAUAUAAUCGUAACCUCCCUCUCGCUCAUGGCCGUCGCGAUAGAAAGAGCUAGCGCGCUUGAUGAACGGGUAUGAGAGAACCAACCUUGGCAAGAAGAGAGAAGAAGAACAACGAAGAGAAAGAGGUUCACGGCCCCAACCAACGCCAUUGAAUUGCAGAAAUGGAAAAUGGAAGCUGCUUCCUCGAAAUCAGAGUAGUGGAUGAUCUCUUAGAUCGUGUGUGGAUCGCAGAUUUAAAGACGAAGAACAGAUCCCAAGAAAACACAUGAAUCUGUUGGAGCUUUGGAUGGAUGGAUGGGUGUGCUGGUGGAUCGUUGGAUGAGGCCUUUUGAGGUCUGACCAUGGCCGUCCAUGGAUGCU